rnacentral:rRNA from 1 species
GACGAACGCUGGCGGCGUGCCUAAUACAUGCAAGUCGAGCGAAUCGAUGGGAGCUUGCUCCCUGAGAUUAGCGGCGGACGGGUGAGUAACACGUGGGUAACCUGCCUGUAAGACUGGGAUAACUUCGGGAAACCGGAGCUAAUACCGGAUACUUUCUUUUCUCGCAUGAGGGAAGAUGGAAAGAUGGUUCUGCUAUCACUUACAGAUGGACCCGCGGCGCAUUAGCUAGUUGGUGAGGUAACGGCUCACCAAGGCGACGAUGCGUAGCCGACCUGAGAGGGUGAUCGGCCACACUGGGACGGAGACACGGCCCAGACUCCUACGGGAGGCAGCAGUAGGGAAUCUUCCGCAAUGGACGAAAGUCUGACGGAGCAACGCCGCGUGAGCGAAGAAGGCCUUCGGGUCGUAAAGCUCUGUUGUUAGGGAAGAACAAGUACGAGAGUAACUGCUCGUACCUUGACGGUACCUAACCAGAAAGCCACGGCUAACUACGUGCUAGCCGCCGCCGUAA